AUCAGCUUGUUGGUGGGGUGAUGGCCUACCAAGGCGACGACGGGUAGCCGGCCUGAGAGGGCGACCGGCCACACUGGGACUGAGACACGGCCCAGACUCCUACGGGAGGCAGCAGUAAGGAAUAUUGCACAAUGGGCGAAAGCCUGAUGCAGCGACGCCGCGUGAGGGAUGACGGCCUUCGGGUUGUAAACCUCUUUCAGCAUUGAAGAAGCGAAAGUGACGGUACCUGCAGAAGAAGCGCCGGCUAACUACGUGCCAGCAGCCGCGGUAAUACGUAGGGCGCAAGCGUUGUCCGGAAUUAUUGGGCGUAAAGAGCUCGUAGGCGGCUUGUCACGUCGGAUGUGAAAGCCCGGGGCUUCACCCCGGGUCUGCAUUCGAUACGGGCAGGCUAGAGUGUGGUAGGGGAGAUCGGAAUUCCUGGUGUAGCGGUGAAAUGCGCAGAUAUCAGGAGGAACACCGGUGGCGAAGGCGGAUCUCUGGGGCAUUACUGACGCUGAGGAGCGAAAGCG
rnacentral:rRNA from 1 species